CUCCCUGGGACAGGCACCAUGCAGAACAUAGCAUGUCUGUUGUAAUAGACUGUUCCAGGCUGAAAGCCUCCAGAGAAGGGCCACGAGAAUGAUCCAUGAUCAGAGGACUGGAAGACCUGCAAUAGGAAGAAAGGCUGAGGAAACUGGAUUUGGUCAGCCUGGAGAAGAGAAGGCUUAGGGAAGGCCUUAUCACCAUGGAUCAGUACAUAAAGGAUGGCUACCAAGAGGAUGGAGGCUGCCUUUUUACAAGGAGUCACAUGGAAAAGAGAGACUCGUAGGAGUAAGAGAUAGCAGCUGAUGGAAUGCCCUGGAGAACAAAGGAAAAAACUGAUCAGGAACCAAGCAGCAGAGGAAGGGAACGUUCGGUUACAUCCCUCAGGAAACAAUGUCAGCCUCGCAGCCUGCUGAGCAGGCACGGCACAGCACGGACUAGCAGAAACCAGAGAUGGAGCUGGAUGACUCACCCAGAAACAAUCUCACACAGUGCACAGCUGGCAGGGACUGCUGCAGAGACGCCUGCCGGCCCCUGCAUCACCAUAUCGGCAGUUUGCAGAGGCUGAAGAGGCUGUGACAGAGCAAGUGAGAGCGAUGAUGACUUUGCUCCAUGUCAGCUAAAACGGAGACAAAGGAUGAACAACGUUCAGUGGAAAGCAGCUCUCCGGGUGUCAGGUGAAGAGGAGCACUUCCCCAGAGCAGCAGUGAGCCAUACAGAAGUGUAUCCAGUGACUUCAUGAGAACAGUGCAUUUCCCUGAAUUUUCAGGUAUUCAGGACGUUUAGAGAAGAGGCAGCAGCGCCGAGGCCUGACGUGCCGGCAGACAUCGCUGCAGUGCGGACGAUUAAACACAAGGCGGCAGCACUGAGGGGGCGGCGCAUACUGCUACAGCGCUGCAGUGCGGACGAUUAAACACAAGGCGGCAGCACUAACGGGGCGGCGCAUGCUGCUACAGCGCUGCAGUGUCCACAAUUAAACACAAGGCGGCAGCACUGAGCGAGCACGGAGGAGGCAUCUCCCGCCCCUCUAUGUGCGGGCAGCAGCUCAGCUGGGCUCAGUUUAGACUUUUUCCUAUUUAACAAUAAUAGUAAUAAAAACCGCGCAAAGGGAAACGCACUGUGGUUUAAUUUAUACACAUACACGUUAUUUUUAUAUUUAAAAUGCCUAUGUGGCUCUACUUAGGCUUUUAAUGCUAUUCUAAAAGCCUUUAUAUAACAGAGGCAAUACAGCCCCCUUCUCUAAGGCAGCACUCCCAUCUGCGGUUGGAUGACCUCCUCCCACCGACCCGUCCUUGGAAAGCUAGAAAGCUACUUUCUCAGCUGCUCUGUGUUUGGGAAGGUGUAGUCUGGCUCUAUUCUAAAGCAGGAAUGUGUUUUAAUCCUAGCCUAGAGUGUCACAGAGGAAAAAUCCAGCCCUCAAGGGCUACUGAGCAGCUUCCACCUUUAUACUCAGAACAAGAGAUGCAUGCCUCAAAAACACUCUGAAGGAAACGAUUUAGGUAAUAAAAGUGUUGCCCAUCACCAGUCAGCUCACUUUCAACAAGAAAAGGGGAUGUCUUAGCACAAAACUGAGGUUGCCUUAUCAGGCUCUAAGAAAUCUGUUUUGGUCUAAGCUCUCUACAAAUUGGAGAUUACAUUAUUAGGUUUAUUAGAAUCACAGAAUGAAGCAGGUUGGAAGAGACCUGCAAGCUCAUCCAGUCCAACCUAUCACCUAGCCAUAUCCAAUCAACUGGACCAUGGCACUAAGUGCCUCAUCCAGGCUUUUCUUGUUUGAGCUUGUGUGGUUUUUCAGUCAGUAUCCAUUGUCAGGCUGAAUUGUAUGAACUUACCUGUGUAGCUCUUAAUAAAAGACAACUAUUGAAAA